AUACGUAGGGGGCGAGCGUUGUCCGGAAUGAUUGGGCGUAAAGGGCGCGUAGGCGGCCCGGUAAGUCUGGAGUGAAAGUCCUGUUUUUAAGAUGGGAAUUGCUUUGGAUACUGUCGGGCUUGAGUGCAGGAGAGGUAAGUGGAAUUCCCAGUGUAGCGGUGAAAUGCGUAGAGAUUGGGAGGAACACCAGUAGCGAAGGCGACUUACUGGACUGUAACUGACGCUGAGGCGCGAAAGUGUGGGGAGCAAACAGGAUUAGAUGCCCUGGUAGUCCACACUGUAAACGAUGAAUGCUAGGUGUAGGGGGUAUCGACCCCUUCUGUGCCGCAGUCAACACAAUAAGCAUUCCGCCUGGGGAGUACGGCCGCAAGGUUGAAACUCAAAUGGAUUGACGGGG
rnacentral:rRNA from 1 species